GGUCAGUUAGUCCUAAUUAUAACAAAGCAUGAAAAUGAGGGUCUCUGUUCAAUUCCUGGGGCUGAUGACGCUCUUGUUUACAAGUGCCAGAUGUGACAUUCAGGUUACUCAGUCUCCAUCCUCAUUGUUCGUAUCUCUGGGAGACAGAGUCACCCUCACUUGUAGAGCAAGUCAGGAUAUUAGCAACAGGAUGGCUUGGUACCAGAAGAAACCAGGGGAAGUUCCAAAGCUCUUGAUCCAUUCUGCAUCCACUUUGCAAUCAGGAAUUCCUUCCAGGUUUAGUGGUAGUGGGUCAGGGAAAGAGUUUUCCUUUAUCGUCAGCCAUCUGGAGCCUGAAGAUGUUGCAACUUACUACUGUCAGCAAGGAUAUAGCUUGUACCACAGUGAUACAUGUAAUGACAAAAAUGACUCACAGAAGCAGAAGUGA